UCCCAACCUACCCUUACUCUUCGAUCUAAUUAACUUAUCUAAUGGCUUAACCAUGGACUCAGCAAUCCAAAUUCUCACUCCGCUCUCUAAUCUUUCCUCCUCAGUUCUCUCAUUUCUCAACGAGAGACUCCACAAUCAAGAAGAUCUCGCGAUGGCGUCUAGCCUCGUCUCAGAGCUGCAAUUGCAGUGUUUGGAUUUGGACCAAACCCUACUCCACCUCAACUGGAGGCUCGAAUCAAGUUUUCUCGCUUACGCGUCAUUCUCCGAUCGAAUUCAUGGCCUAUU
rnacentral:misc_RNA from 1 species